rnacentral:lncRNA from 1 species
ACUGUAAAGUGGUUGAUUCGCCGCGUUUAACAUUUCGUAAAACUUUUUCGCAUCUAUAUUAGGUUCUUCAUCUUCAUCAUGAGCUACGAAUGCAUCAGCUACCAUAUCAUGAACCCUAUCAUAAUCUACCAUCUCCUCCUGAUGGUAACUAUGUUCAUUAUGUAAAUGACGAUCAACCGGUUCUUUUUCCUGAAAAUUGCUAUUACUACUACUAGCUUCGUUCUGAACAUAAUUAAAACCUUCUCCAUGUUGAAACCAGAUAUAGUAAUUUGGC